rnacentral:sRNA from 1 species
AUGUACCCAUGUACACUCCGGUUCCUCCGCGCCGCCCGCACCCACCUGACGGCUGCUCGCUACGUUUUGUUAGCC